rnacentral:lncRNA from 10 species
AUGGGUCUUACUAUGUUACCCAGGCUGGAUUUGAACUCCUGGGCUCAAGCCUUGGUCCUGUCUCAGCCUCUGGAGCAGCUGGGACUACAGGCAUGCACCACAGCACCUGGCUCACAUUCCGAUUGUUAUGUUCAUCAUCAUCUUGUUUUAAGGGAUUUGCCACAUACAUGCAUAUGGAUUUCCAAAGGAUGAAGCCUCAUUCUGUCACCCAGGUUGGAGUGCAGAGAAGACGAUCUGUUACCCAU